AACGCGAAGAACCUUACCCAGGCUUGACAUGCAGAUGACGACAUUAGAGAUAGUGUUUCCCUUCGGGGCAUCUGCACAGGUGCUGCAUGGCUGUCGUCAGCUCGUGCCGUGAGGUGUUUGGUUAAGUCCAGCAACGAGCGCAACCCUUAUCAUUAGUUGCCAACACUUAGGGUGGGAACUCUAAUGAGACUGCCUGGGUUAACCAGGAGGAAGGUGAGGAUGACGUCAAGUCCGCAUGGCCCUUAUGUCUGGGGCUACACACGUGCUACAAUGGUCGGUACAGAAGGCAGCGAAACCGCAAGGCGGAGCAAAUCCCGAAAGCCGAUCUCAGUUCAGAUUGUAGUCUGCAACUCGACUACAUGAAGACGGAAUUGCUAGUAAUGGUGGGUCAGCAACACCACCGUGAAUACGUUCCCGGGCCUUGUACACACCGAGACGAC
rnacentral:rRNA from 1 species